rnacentral:rRNA from 1 species
AUGCUGGACAGAAACCAACCCACAGAUCCUCCUCGGUUAGUAAAAAUGUUUACCGUUUCUCUUACCACUGCUCUCUCGAGGAGAAAAGAAAAUGAAUUAGCGGUGGAAUUAAUAAUGGAUGUACGUACCGGAGGCGAACUUGAAGGAGCGGGAGCCCAUGUCGCGGUGCAUCUGGAUCGUGUAGUCGGAGGAGGAAGGGAGGCUGCCCUCGUAGCCCACGGAGUAGAUCAGGUACGGCUGCGGUCGGUCGGUGCUGAGCUCGAAGGCCAGGUAGAGCCGGCCGGACUUGGAGACGGCGACGGUCCUGUUCCUGACCAGGGUGAGGCGGCCGUCGUCCGGCGUCACGGCCUCCGGGCUCCUGCCCUGGAGGUAGUACUGCUUGGCGACGCCCUUGCCGCCGGACGACCAGCCGACCAUGGCGCUGCUGCCGACCAUGCCCCCCUUGCCCGAGAACCCGACGGCCACGUAGGAUCUCUUCUCCGGCGCCGACAGCACGAAGCUCCACUGGCUCGUCCCCGUGUUCUUGUACUGGCGACGGCACAAGAAGCAUUCCGGAUCAGAUCAGGCAGCCACGACUUGAUUGCUGGAAAAAUCCAGACCAAAAAUCCGCAGCAAUGCGGUGAGAGAAGGCGUACCCUGAGGAUGAAGUCCUCGUCCUUCCAGAGGGUGAUGCAGUGGAAGGCGUCGGUGUCGAAGGGGACGAGGCGCGCCACCUGGAGGUCCCCGUCGCAGGAGUCCGACUUCUGGUGGCUCGCCGCGAAGCAGAAGCCGAGCAGGCAGAGCAGCGGCAGCAGCAGCCGCACGGAGGAACAAGAGGAAGCCCCCAUUGUCGCGUCAGUCAGUCUAAUCCUCUCCCCGAGCUUCCCGCUCCUGUGCCACGGCCACCACCUGUGCUGUGUCUUUCUUGGGUUGGGCACCGCGGUGGACGCGGAGGCCGGACAAGAUUGGCGGUGCUUGGAAGGGAGGAAAUGGCCAAGGUUCCGCCGCGCUGCUGCUGGGGCAGUUUGGCAGGUCAGAGGAUGCUUGCUGCCCUGCUGCUGCCCUCCAAUCGAAUGGCGUUGCCCUGUGCCAGUAUGUACAUAUAUCCUCCCUCCCUGA